CCCCCUGCCAUGGGCAAGGACAUCUUCCACUAGACCCGGUUGCUCCAAGCCCCGUCUAACCUGUCCCUGGACACUCCCAGGAUGUCUGGCUGCAAUGCGGACACAUGAGCAGGUCUGAUGCAAGAAGUGAGUCAGAGACCUUUUGACACAGUUUGACCUGACAGAUGCAGCGACUCAGUGGCAGUGUGAGGAGCUCAUAUUGUUUUGUAAAUGGAAUAAAGUUCAUUUAACACAGCAGGCUUGUAUUUGCUGUUAACUCAAAGGCCUCUCACCUGAAAAAAACCUGCAGAUCACUUACCCCAUCACCACUUGCAGAUGGAAAUAGCUCCUGAGGGUGUCGCCUUUGGUGGAGGAGGUAGGAAUGCUGUCAUUACUAAACGACACCUGAUUCCCAUGGGUCUCUUUAGCCUGUAUGAAAAUCGUUCUUUUCCUGUACCUCAGC